CGGGUGAGUAAUGCGUGACCAACCUCGCCCCAUGCUCCAGAAUAGCUCUUGGAAACGGGUGGUAAUGCUGGAUGCUCCAACUUGACGCAUGUCUUGUUGGAAAAGUGUUUAGUGGCAUGGGAUGGGGUCGCGUCCUAUCAGCUUGUAGGCGGGGUAAUGGCCCACCUAGGCUUCGACGGGUAGCCGGCCUGAGAGGGCGGACGGCCACAUUGGGACUGAGAUACGGCCCAGACUCCCUACGGGAGGCAGCAGGG
rnacentral:rRNA from 1 species